rnacentral:tRNA from 1 species
GGGGAUAUAGCUCAGUGGUACAGCAUCUGCUUUGCAAGUGCAAGGUCCUGAGUUCAAUUCCUCACAUCCCCC